AACGAACGCUGGCGGCAGGCCUAACACAUGCAAGUCGAACGCCGUAGCAAUACGGAGUGGCAGACGGGUGAGUAACGCGUGGGAACAUACCCUCCGGUUCGGAAUAACUCAGGGAAACUUGAGCUAAUACCGGAUACGUCCAAGGUUUUAAUCGGCCUUGGAGAAAGAUUUAUCGCUGGAGGAUUGGCCCGCGUCUGAUUAGCUUGUUGGUGAGGUAAUGGCUCACCAAGGCGACGAUCAGUAGCUGGUCUGAGAGGAUGAUCAGCCACAUUGGGGACUGAGACACGGCCCAAACUCCUACGGGAGGCAGCAGUGGGGAAUAUUGGACAAUGGGCGAAAGCCUGAUCCAGCCAUGCCGCGUGAGUGAUGAAGGCCUUAGGGUGUAAAGCUCUUUUACCCGGGAAGAUAAUGACGGUACCGGGAGAAUAAGCCCCGGCUAACUUCGUGCCAGCAGCCGCGGU
rnacentral:rRNA from 1 species